AUCGCUUCUCAGCCUUUUGGCUAAGAUCAAGUGUAAUAUCUGUUCUUAUCAGUUUAAUAUGAGGUCAGAUAGAUACACUAUGCCACCUAUA
rnacentral:snRNA from 1 species